rnacentral:rRNA from 1 species
CUAAGGUUUCCAGAGUAAAGCUGAUCUGCUCUGGGUAAGUCGGGGCCUAAGGCCAGGUCGAAAGACGUAACCGAUGGACAACAGGUUGAAAUUCCUGUACCUUAAGUAAACAGAACUGUGGGGACACGUGUGGAGAGCACAAGCCGGAAAUGGAAAAGCCGGUGCAAGCGAGGUAGGAGUACAGUAGGCAAAUCCGCUGUACAAUCCGAAGACGUGAUGCGGACCGAAUUAAGAGUAGGGAAGUGUGUGAGCCAUGCGUCAAGAAAAGCCGCUAUUGUUUUACUUAAGCCCGUACCGUAAACCGACACAGGUGGAUGAGGAGAGAAUCCUAAGGCCGACGGGAGAAGCAUUGUUAAGGAACUCGGCAAAAUGACUCCGUAACUUCGGGAGAAGGAGUGCCAGCGAGAGCUGGCCGCAGAGAAUUGGCCCAAGCAACUGUUUAGCAAGAACACAGGUCUAUGCAAAACCGUAAGGUGAAGUAUAUGGGCUGACGCCUGCCCGGUGCUGGAAGGUUAAGAGGAGAGGUUAGCGGCAACGCGAAGCUUUGAAUUUAAGCCCCAGUAAACGGCGGCCGUAACAAUAACGGUCCUAAGGUAGCGAAAUUCCUUGUCGGGUAAGUUCCGACCCGCACGAAAGGCGUAAUGAUUUGGGCACUGUCUCAACAAUGCACCCGGUGAAAUUGAAAUACCAGUGAAGAUGCUGGUUACCUGCGCCAGGACGGAAAGACCCCAUGGAGCUUUACUCCAGCUUGAUACUGGGAUUCGGUAUUGCAUGUACAGGAUAGGUGGGAGGCUAGGAAGUGAUAACGCCAGUUGUCACGGAGCCGCUGUUGGGAUACCACCCUUGCAGUAUUGGAUUUCUAACCAGCGACCAUGAACUGGUCGGGGGACAAUGUCAGGUGGGGAGUUUGACUGGGGCGGUCGCCUCCGAAAGGGUAUCGGAGGCGCCCAAAGGUUCCCUCAGAAUGGACGGAAACCAUUCGAAGAGUGCAAAGGCAGAAGGGAGCUUGACUGCGACACCGACGGGUGGAGCAGGUACGAAAGUAGGACUUAGUGAUCCGGUGGUAUAAAGUGGGAUUGCCAUCGCUCAACGGAUAAAAGCUACCCUGGGGAUAACAGGCUUAUCACUCCCAAGAGUUCACAUCGACGGAGUGGUUUGGCACCUCGAUGUCGGCUCAUCGCAUCCUGGGGCUGAAGUAGGUCCCAAGGGUUGGGCUGUUCGCCCAUUAAAGCGGUACGCGAGCUGGGUUCAGAACGUCGUGAGACAGUUCGGUCCCUCUCCGGCGUGGGCGUAGGAUAUUUGAGAGGAGCUGUCCUUAGUACGAGAGGACCGGGAUGGACUGGCCGCUGGUGUAUCUGUUGCAUACCAAAUGCAUGGCAGAGUAGCCAAGCCGGGACGGGAUAAACGCUGAAGGCAUCUAAGCGUGAAGCCCCCCUCAAGAUGAGAUAUCCCUACGUAAGUAGUAAGACCCCUUGAAGACGACGAGGUAGAUAGGUCAGAGGUGGAAGUACAGUAAUGUAUGGAGCUGACUGAUACUAAUCGGUCGAGGGCAUGACCG